GCAGUGGUGGUUCAGGGGUAGAACGCUCACCUUCCAUUCAGGAGACCUGGGUUCAAUUCCCAGCCAACGCA
rnacentral:tRNA from 1 species